rnacentral:rRNA from 1 species
UACGUAGGGGGCUAGCGUUGUCCGGAUUUAUUGGGCGUAAAGAGCGUGUAGGCGGCCAGGUAGGUCUGCUGUGAAAACUCGAGGCUUAACCUCGAGAUGUCAUCGGAAACCAUUUGGCUAGAGUCCGGAAGAGGAGAGUGGAAUUCCUGGUGUAGCGGUGAAAUGCGCAGAUAUCAGGAAGAACACCGGUGGCGAAAGCGCUCUGCUAGGCCGCAACUGACACUGAGGGACGAAAGCUAGGGGAGCGAAUGGG